AUUGAACGCUGGCGGCAUGCUUUACACAUGCAAGUCGAACGGUAACAGGUUAAGCUGACGAGUGGCGAACGGGUGAGUAAUGCAUCGGAACGUGCCCGAUCGUGGGGGAUAACGCAGCGAAAGCUGCGCUAAUACCGCAUACGAUCUGAGGAUGAAAGCGGGGGACCGUAAGGCCUCGCGCGAUCGGAGCGGCCGAUGUCAGAUUAGGUAGUUGGUGGGGUAAAGGCCCACCAAGCCGACGAUCUGUAGCUGGUCUGAGAGGACGACCAGCCACACUGGGACUGAGACACGGCCCAGAAUCCUACGGGAGGCAGCAGUGGGGAAUUUUGGACAAUGGGCGAACGCCUGAUCCAGCAAUGCCGCGUGCAGGAAGAAGGCCUUCGGGUUGUAAACUGCUUUUGUACGGAGCGAAAAGGUCCUUUCUAAUACAAGGGGCUCAUGACGGUACCGUAAGAAUAAGCACCGGCUAACUACGUGCCAGCCGCCGCGGUAA
rnacentral:rRNA from 1 species